rnacentral:rRNA from 1 species
UACGUAGGGCGCAAGCGUUGUCCGGAAUUAUUGGGCGUAAAGAGCUCGUGGGCGGCCAGUUGCGUCUGCUGUGAAAUCCCACGGCUCAACCGUGGAACUGCUGGGUAUACUGGUUGUCUUGAGCCAGCUAGGGGCGAGCGGAACAGACGGUGGAGCGGUGAAAUGCGUAGAUAUCGUCUGGAACGCCGAAGGUGAAAACAGCUCGCUGGGGCUGCGCUGACGCUGAGACACGAAAGCCAGGGGAGCGAACGGG